AGGAGGAACCUUGAAGAAGGAUCCUGGGGAGAGAAUCACUGCUGUGAGGUCAGUCUGAGGCUGCAGUUAGAGCCCCUUGUUGGAACCUGCAGUCACAGUCUAGCUAGAUUUUGAAAGUCAGAUUUUAACUUUGGAAGUACUGAAGUUUGAGACUCCAUCUCCAGCAAGUUCUUUUCUCCUCUGUUUUUCCUUUGAAAUCAACUUAACAAGAACGUCCAUGGGGCUAAAUAAAUAACAACAGGGGACAUCUUCUGAUAAUGGGCCAUUAGGGCUCACCAAUAACAUGAUGCAUUACAUCAUCCCAUUGUGAGAUUCUCCACCCAGUAACGGGGGAGCCAACCAUUCCUAUCUAGAUAAAAACUGAGACUCAAGAA